CAAAGCAUCGCUGCUGAUGUCUGGUCAGCCUGCACUUUAAGAAUCAGAGCUGAAUCCAGCCGACACCGGUGUGUCCAGCGCUGGAGAGAGAACGUCAGUACCUCUUCAUGUUGUGAUCAUGUGUCUGUGUUUUCCUCAGUGGAGCUCUGUCUGGACUGGAGCUGUCUGAUCUGACUCUGAACACUGAACUCCUGACGCAUGCAUCUCAAGAUUUAGAUUGGUCUUCUGGCUCAAAAAGGUUAAUGCUUUCUUUAAAGCUAUCUUUAAGGUCUCUCUUGAGUUUUUAGUCAAAAUAAGAGCUCCAUGAUUUUAACUUAAGAAAUCCAUAAAUACUUAAAAAAAGAAAAUUAUUAAAUAUUUUAGUAAUAUAUUUCUGUAUUGAUUAGACAUAUAAUACAAUAUUUUUAAAUACAAUAAUAGUAGUGAUAAUAAUUCUAAAUUAAAGUUGAAUGGAGAAAAGCUCAUUUAAUAUGCAAUCUAGAAACGUGUUUGCAUGAUGUGUCCACUAGGUGGCAGUCACACUCCAUCACAGAGGUGUUUAGUAAGAGUGAAAGUGGUGUUGAGUUAUACUCCAGUAGUCGUUCUAAAAUGGAAAUUUCCAAUCUUGGAUGCUGAUUGGUCAAUUCUACAUUCCAAAAUGCACCUCAUGGUAUUCUCUAGUCUAUAUAGUAUAUCAUAUUACGUAAUAUAGAUCAUAUCAUUUAGCUUGGCUUAUUUAUGAUUAGAUCUCAUGGAAGGUUUACACUUCAUUAAUUUGCUUAAUUUUCUUUGUCAGGACUGUUUUUAAACGUAACUAAAACAUAAUAUGUUGUAAAUAUUGUUAUGGGUUACCAGAAGUAAGUAUUAUUUUACUCUUAAUUAAUGCUUUCCCCCCUAUCCAGCCAAACCUUGAGCUCUUAUUCACAACGUAUCAGCAUCUCUUGCUUAAAUAAUCACUUUAAUGGGACUCAAUGAUGUAGAGUUUAGGUGAAAUUCGAACAAAUUAACUAAUGCACCUUUUCUUAAUCUUUCCCUCCAGCAUUUUUCCCUUCACUAAUGACCGAAGCAGACGUGUGUGUGAGUUUUACAAGGCCAAGUCUGUUUUUGAGAUUUGCUGCUCCAAAAAGAUGCUGGAUUCCCGUUUCUUUCGAAAACUCUUUCUAUAUCUCUUGCCUUUAUUUAGUGUCAGACUGGAUUUAGAUCUAGAUCUUUCUAUUCCAGAUCCGGCUCAUGUCACACACCGUUUUCAGUUUGUUGUCACUAUAGAUCGAGAUCCAGAUGUUGGGUCCCUGCGGCCUUCCUCCUCCUCUUCUUCUUCACCUCCUCCUGCAAGCAGUGACCCUUCCACAUUCUCCACAGUAUGAGUCAGCAGUGCUGCGGCUCCAGCAAACUCCAUCUAUCAUGUUGAGUUUCAUUACAAUGUAGCACUUAAACCAAACAUUGCUUGAAAACGAACUUCUGACAAGCCAAUCUGUUCUCUGUCUCCUUCAUAAAACCACAAACGUGGGUCACACAGCGCUGUGACAGCCAGAACGCUCACGUCAUCUAGUGCAUGACUCACCGGGUGAGAAAUGAUCCUCAGUGCGGCUGGAUCUGUUAGCGAACACAUGUGUGAAAUUAGCUGACUUAUUGUAUAAGAUUGGGACUUAUUGUGUAAAAAUGAAAAACCAUUGAUCUAUCUUUCAAAGCCAACAAACAUUGAAUCGGUUUACUUUCUCUAUACAGUAAUUCUAAAGAAAAACAGCAUCUUUGAUUAAAGCUGCAGUCGGUAACUUUUGACGCUCUAGCGGUUAAUAAACAGAACUGCUUGCGUCUUGCGGAAGAACAUUGUAGCCGGAACUACUUCUCUCUGUUUAUGUCUAUGUAGAAUCACAAAGUACUGAGUUACUCCGCCGCGGUACCCCCGAAGCAAUCUAAAAUAGUCCGAAUAUAAACACUUAUUAUAGGUGCACCCUAGUGAUUCAGGACAAGCCAAAAACACGGUUUGGAAAAUGGAUUCAUGUUGUACUCGCUUAUUAUAUACAUUUUUCUACAUUUUGAACACAAACAAAGUUACGGACCGCAGCUCUGAUUGGUUGUUUCUUACCGGGAGCGAUGGAGUUUCUGCAAAUGACAAUAGGACCACUGGGAGGAGCCAGAGGAGCUUGAUUUUUUUCACAGAUUAUCUGUCUCAUAUUCUACUGUCAGGACAUAAUGACAGGUUUAACAAAUAUGUAAAAAAUAUAUUUUUACAAAAGUUACCUACUGCAGCUUUAAAUGUAACUCGCUCCGCUUCUGAACAGCUGACAUCAUGGAGCCCUUUUUUUUAGCCCCUCCCCUUUAACUACAUGCCAAACAGAGACAACUGUAACCAAUUCCUGAAGGAAAAAAAGAGUUUUUUCAUGAGGAGUAAAGAGAUAUAUCACAUUAUGUGAUUAAAAAAGUUUGUACUGUAGAUACUUCAUGUUGACUACCAAUGUCUGUUUUGCAGGUAAGUAUCGUACACAUUUAGACUUCAACCCUAAUCAAACACACCUGAACCAGCUAAUUAAGGUCUCACUAGGAAUACUAGAAACUUCCAGGCAGGUGCGUUGAGGAAAACUGGAGCUAAACUCUGCAGAACUGAGUUUGGAGAGCCCUGAUUUAUGUCAUUCUCUAUUGGUGAGAUGUGACAUCAGUCUGAAAAGCGUAGAAAAGACAUUAGCAGUCUGUCCAGCUAUCUGUCGUAAAUCUCAAAGUUUGAAUGGUCAAAACGAACAAGUUGUGGGGUCUCUCGUUCGUGGUUGGUCUCUAGGCAAGAUGUUUUCAUGUUGUUCUGUAUCUGUUUCCGCGGUGUUGUGUGAAUGUUAUCUGUUCUGGCUGCAGGAGAAUUUUCCGUGUAACUGGCUCUUUUCUUGUCCGUUCCUGCCAGAAGUUGGACCCAGCAGACCCAAAACCAAUUUCAUCAUCACUGCGGGACUGAGUCACACUGCUAAAGAGAGUGAGAGAUGAUCUGCUCGGCCAAAAAUACAUGAAUACUACACACCAGAUGGGAAUAAAGUGGAAAGUAAAUAGGAAAACAGAACGAAGGACAAAGAUGUACAAGGUUUCUGGCGAAUGGACCAUGACAUUUAAAAUCCCAAGUCUCAAAAACCGCAAAGACGAGUUAUUUCCAGAGAAGGGACAGUGCAGGAAGCAGAGCCCAUGAUGACAUCACCAUCCCUCUGUUCCAGCGCACAUCUGGAAAUGCUCAAGUUUCAGAAAGAGAGAGAGAACAGCGAGAAUGUGAGGGAAGAGUACAAAUGAGCUUGGCAUAUCUGCACCACCAGCACGGAUAGGGAAAUAAGGAGGAGAGAAAAGGAAACGAGAAAGAAAUGGAGGUGGGCUGUAUGAACUAUUAAACCUGUUUAUGGUUUUAACCCCUCCAAAGAAAGUCAAAAGCAAAAGAAAUACAAAAUAGACUUAAUAUACAUAUUACAAAGGCUCUGGAAUAAUUGAUUGUGAUUGGUCAAACACAGAAUUCAGAACUGUAUAUCAGUCACAAGCAAAUGAUUUCCCUUCAUCACAUCUCGUAGUCUUUUGACAUAAUGGAAUAAUUUUAACAUUUCCAUGUCCUUUAUUUAUUUGAACUGCUUAUUCUAAUAUUUAAAUAGCCACAUGAAUUUGAUUGUAACUGCAUAUUUACAUCUUUACUUAUGCCAAAUUAUAUUUAAUAUUAUAUUGAAUUAUAUUUUUGACCAUGGCAAUAGAAAUCCUGCUACAUGAAUGCUUCCUGUUAGGAUUAAUGUUGGAAAAAAUGCCAGUACAGCUGCUGGCUUAAAUUAUAUUAAACUGACUAAAAAAAAAAAAAAUCAUUGCAUACUUUUAAUAUUAAUUGCACAUAAUAUUACACAAUCUGAGGACGAAUAUCGACUCGUGACGGGAAGCAAAGAUGCCUCGUCCAAAUUCUCAGGGCUGACUACAGGCGGACUGAUGCAAUGAUGAUUCCGGAACUAAA